CUUGAAAAUACCAGGGACAGGGAGGGCACAGGAGCAAACUACUGGAAAAACAGGUCAGAAAUGUUGCCUGAAGAAUCAUGAAGGAAUGGUAGUAUGGAGGAAAAUUAUUUUUAAUUUCAGCUGGUCUAUGAUCAGCCUAUCAUUAAUGGACACCAAUUUACUGAUGCAAAAUCCUGAAGAAGAGGAAAAGGACAUAGCUCAUUUAUAAAGCACACAGGACACUGAAGUGCUUUGACUCUGGUCAUUGCAGCAGUACAAACAGCAAUUAGACCCCUGGAAAAAGGUUAAAAAUGAUACUGCACAAAGGAGUGGAGAACCUAAAAUUUUCAGUCUUAUUUUCUCUCUGCAAAGGAAGAUAGC